AUUGAACGCUGGCGGCAUGCCUUACACAUGCAAGUCGAACGGCAGCGGACCUUCGGGUGCCGGCGAGUGGCGAACGGGUGAGUAAUGCAUCGGAACGUGCCAUUGAGUGGGGGAUAACGUAGCGAAAGUUGCGCUAAUACCGCAUAUUCUGUGAGCAGGAAAGCAGGGGACCGCAAGGCCUUGCGCUCUUUGAGCGGCCGAUGUCAGAUUAGCUAGUUGGUGAGGUAACGGCUUACCAAGGCGACGAUCUGUAGCGGGUCUGAGAGGAUGAUCCGCCACACUGGAACUGAGACACGGUCCAGACUCCUACGGGAGGCAGCAGUGGGGAAUUUUGGACAAUGGGGGCAACCCUGAUCCAGCCAUGCCGCGUGAGUGAAGAAGGCC
rnacentral:rRNA from 1 species